AUUGAACGCUGGCGGCAGGCUUAACACAUGCAAGUCGAGCGGGGUGAUGGUGCUUGCACUAUCACUUAGCGGCGGACGGGUGAGUAAUGCUUAGGAAUCUGCCUAUUAGUGGGGGACAACAUCUCGAAAGGGAUGCUAAUACCGCAUACGUCCUACGGGAGAAAGCAGGGGAUCACUUGUGACCUUGCGCUAAUAGAUGAGCCUAAGUCGGAUUAGCUAGUUGGUGGGGUAAAGGCCUACCAAGGCGACGAUCUGUAGCGGGUCUGAGAGGAUGAUCCGCCACACUGGGACUGAGACACGGGCCAGACUCCUACGGGAGGGAGCAGUGGGGAAUAUUGGACAAUGGGGGGAACCCUGAUCCAGCCAGGCCGCGUGUGUGAAGAAGGCCUUAUGGUUGUAAAGCACUUUAAGCGAGGAGGAGGCUCUUUUGGUUAAUACCCAAGAUGAGUGGACGUUACUCGCAGAAUAAGCACCGGCUAACUCUGUGCCAGCAGCCGCAGUAA
rnacentral:rRNA from 1 species